rnacentral:rRNA from 1 species
UACGUAGGUGACAAGCGUUGUCCGGAUUUACUGGGCGUAAAGAGCGCGCAGGCGGUCGAUCAAGUCGAGUGUGAAAGCCCCCGGCUCAACUGGGGAGGGUCAUUCGAUACUGAUCGACUCGAAGGCAGGAGAGGGUAGUGGAAUUCCCGGUGUAGUGGUGAAAUGCGUAGAGAUGUGGAGGAACACCAGUGGCGAAGGCGACUCUCUGGUCUGUAACUGACGCUGAGGCGCGAAAGCGUGGGGAGCAAACAGG